rnacentral:lncRNA from 1 species
CCAAUAUCCCUACUUUGGCAUAACACAGGUUUUGUUUUACCUGGACAGGGACAGUAUGGAUCCUCUGGAACUAUAAUGGAUGUGCGAGUGAGCAGCCUGGCAAGAAUCAUUUUCAAGCACCCAGCUUCCCAGUGCCAGGGGCCUCUCCCAUCAACAGCCUAUGGCUAUGAAUUCUUUAUCCCUGUGAGCUUGGCUGCCAUAUGUGAUUCGGACAGAAGAUGGAGAGAAGCCCCAGGCUGCGGUGGCAGGUGUGCGCUUCCAGGGAGUACGGUGUUUGAAGCCGGAGGGACUGCUGUGGCCUGUGUUUUCAGGACAGCAAGCCUGCGUCCUGGGUGGCACUGGAGGAUGGAGACAAGCAGGAAGGAGACCACAUGCUUGUUGUUCAAGGAUCCUGUUCAUGGGCCCGAGGAGCUCUGCCAUUAAGCAGUGAGCUUCCUGCCUCCUUCUCACUGUCUACGUUGGACAUGACUGAAGUAGAAGCUUCUGGAAGCAGAUGGAAGGUAAGUCCCAGCUGAGAAAUGGUUUAUUCUGAUUUACUCCUAUUACUCAGAACAGGAUUCCAACAGAGGAGCUAAUCCUUGGCAUGCCCCCUGCCCCUGGCUCCCUCUCCCACGUGCUCUGUCCCUCAUGUGGACUGGAUUUAAAGAUAGCUUUCAAAUACGACUUUAGGUUUCCAGACUCCCUGCAGAGUUCUCAGCUGCACAUUAUCUGGCAUGUGAUCUGGGUCAUCAGUGUGCUUGUGCUCCCUCAAAAUAUAUAAGCAGAGGUGCCUUCCUCCCACCUUCAGAAGCGCUGGCACU